rnacentral:rRNA from 1 species
UACGUAGGGUGCGAGCGUUGUCCGGAAUUACUGGGCGUAAAGCGCACGUAGGCGGAUCGAUCAGUCAGGGGUGAAAUCCCAGGGCUCAACCCUGGAACUGCCUUUGAUACUGUCGAUCUGGAGUAUGGAAGAGGUGAGUGGAAUUCCGAGUGUAGAGGUGAAAUUCGUAGAUAUCGAGAGGAACACCGGUGGCGAAGGCGGCCAACUGGACGAAUACUGACGCUGAGACUCGAAAGCGUGGGGAGCAAACAGG